rnacentral:rRNA from 1 species
UACGAAGGGGGCUAGCGUUGUUCGGAAUUACUGGGCGUAAAGCGCACGUAGGCGGAUAUUUAAGUCAGGGGUGAAAUCCCAGAGCUCAACUCUGGAACUGCCUUUGAUACUGGGUAUCUUGAGUAUGGAAGAGGUGAGUGGAAUUCCGAGUGUAGAGGUGGAAUUCGUAGAUAUUCGGAGGAACACCAGUGGCGAAGGCGGCUCACUGGUCCAUUACUGACGCUGAGGUGCGAAAGCGUGGGGAGCAAACAGG